AACGUAGGUGGCAAGCGUUAUCCGGAUUUACUGGGCGUAAAGCGUGUGCAGGCGGGUGGAAAAGUGGUGUAUGAAAUCGCCAGGCUAAACCUGGCGGGGUUAUGCCAGACUGUCCGUCUGGAGUGCGAGAGAGGGGCGUGGAAUUCCGGGUGUAGUGGUGAAAUGCGUAGAGAUCCGGAGGAACCCCAGAGGCGAAGGCGGCGCCCUGGCUCGCAACUGACGCUCAGACACGACAGCAUGGGGAGCGAACGGG
rnacentral:rRNA from 1 species